GAGACCAGUCCCUUCGAGCGCCCUCACGCGUUUUGUCCCCACGCCACGCCGGGGAGAGUCUGUGGCACAGACUCGUCCCCGGCCCCGCGGGCUUAAGUUGUCUGGGGGCUGUCGCUGUGAGUACAGAUCAUAUAGUUAUGAAUACAUUUUAACGCAGAUCCAAACACAUAGUAUAACGUGAGGAUCCUAUAUAAAGUGAGACUCCUCAAAAAAAAAAAAAAAGAUUUUUUUUUUUUUUUUUUUUUUUUUUUAGCCGGACGUGGUGGCGGGCGCCUGUAGUCCUAACCACUCGGGAGGCUGAGGCAGGAGAAUCGCUUGAAGCCGGGAGGCGGAGGCUUCAGUGAGCCGAAAUCGCGCCACUGCACUACAGCCCGGGCGACAGAGCGAGAGACUCCGUUUGGGGGGAGGAAAGUGUUUUUUUAAAUGCAGUCAAAUUCGAACGUAGGUUGAUAGGAUCACAUAGUUGAUCCGCUCUAACCCCACACCCACCUGCAGACCUGGUUAGUGCUGAGGUCCUCUCAUCCCAGGGAGGAGACUAGGGUUCGCAUUGGCUCCCCUGGGGCCCGGCUUGGCGUGGCAAAGCUGGGAGUCUCGCCCUAGGUUGGGGUUUCCUCUGCUCUGUAAGCCUCUGCAGAAGGAGCAGAGGGUGGUGGGAGAAGAAGUGCCCAAGAGGGGCCACAAGGUACCUGUGAUCUGUGUCCCCCCACCAGGGGGAUGGGUGCUUUCAUUUUUAUCGUUGUGGAAAACUUCACAUUAAGUACUGGACUUCUCCAAAGAAUCUCCCAGACAUCUACUUGUUCUUUCAAAACAUAACAGAUUUUUAAAAAAAAUAAUUUACAUACCAUAUAAUUUGCCCAUUUUGAGUGUACAAUUCAAGGCUGGGCACGGUGGCUCACGCCUGUAAUCCCACCACUUUGGGAGGCUGAGGUGGGCGGAUCACCUGAGGUCAGGAGUUCGAGACCAGCCUGACCAACAUGGAGAAACCCCAUCUGUAGUAAAAAUGCAAAAUUAGCUGGGCGUGGUGGCACAUGCCUGUAAUCCCAGCUCCUCGGGAGGCUGACAGGCAGGAGAAUCGCUUGAACUCGGGAGGUGGAGGUUGCGGCGAGCCGAGAUUGCACCAUUGCACUCCAGCCUGGGCAACAAGAGCGAAACUGCGUCUCAAAAAAAAAAAAAAAAAAAGGCCGUAGGUCUGAAUAGACCCCUCAUCUAAGAAAAAUAUAUACAUAGCUGGCAAAUAGGCACAUGAAAAUAUGCUCCACAUCAUAUGCCAUUAGGGAACUGCAAAUUGAAACAAUAAUGAGAUACUACUAUACAUCUGUUAGAAUGGCUACAAUGCAACACACUGAUAGCACCAUAUGCUAGCAAGGUUGUGAGGCAAUGGGAACUCUCGUUUACUGCUGAUAGAAAGGCAAAAUGGUACAGCCACUUUGGAAGACAGUUUGGCAGUUUCUUACAAAAAGUUAAAUAUAGUCUUACCAUAUGAUGCAGCAAUCACACUCCUGGGUAUUUGCACAAAUGAGUUGAGAACUUAUGUCCAUGCGAAAACCACACAAAUUAUUAUAGCAGCUUUAUUCAUAAUUGCUCAAAACUUGAAUCAACCCAGAUGUCCUUCAAUAGAUAAAUGGCUAAUCUGUGUUACAUCCACACAAUGGAAUAUCAUUCAGCAAUAAAAUUAACUGUGCUACCAAGUUAUGAAAGGCAUGGAGGAGUCUGAAAUGCAUAUUGGUAAGUGACAGAAGCCAGACUGAAAAAGCUACAUACUGUAUGAUUACAAGUUUCUGACAUUCUGGAAAAGGUAAAGCUAUAGAGACAGUAAAGCAGUGACUGCCAGGGGCUCAGUGGGAGGGAGGGAGGGAGGGAGGGAGGAAUGAAUAGCAGCACAAAUAAUUUUGGGGGGCAGUAAAAGUAUUUUGUACUAUAUUGUAAUGGUGGAUACAUGAGUUUAUGCAUUUGUGAAAACCCAUAUAAUGUACAUUAAUAAUAACGUACUAAUAUUCAUUUUAAAAUGUUAACAAAUAGGCCGGGUGCGGUAGCUCAUGCCUGUAAUCCCAGCAUUUUGGGAGGCUGAGCAGGGCGGAUCACGAGGUCAGGAGAUGGAGACCAUCCUGGCCAAAAUGGUGAAACCCCAACUCUACUAAAAAUACAAAAAUUAGCCGGGUGUGGUGGCACGCGCUUGUCGUCCCAGCUACUCGUGAGGCUGAGACAGGAGAAUUGCUUGAACCCGGGAGGCGGAGGUUGCUGUGAGAUCGUGCCACUGCACUCCAGCCUGGGUGUCAGAGCAAGACUCCGUCACAAAAAACAAAAAAAAAAAGAAGAAACUAAAAUGAGGUCCAAUGAAGCAGUGCCAGGAAAAACAUAAAUGAGCUAUUAAGCCCAGGAAAGGUAAGUGGUUAAGAGAGAACUUUGGUCUGAGACUUCCUGGAAUCAAACUGUAGCACUGCCUCCCACCGGCUUUAUGACUCAGGGCAAAUACUUAGCCUAUGGGAGACUCAGGCCCUGGACCCUCUAUUCCUCUACUCCACCCAUAGGAGAGAUCAGGCCCAUCUCACAGAGGAACAGAUUUUCAAGAACGAUUUGAGGAUAUGUAUUAGCCCAGGACAUGUUAUGGGAUGACCAGUGUCUUCAAACUAGGCAGAAAGAGGGGACAGGGUACAGGAGUCAGGGGAAGUAGGCGAAAAGGUGGACUGUUUAGUAGGGGAUCAGGAACAUAGAAAAGUGGCAAGGCUAGUGACCUUGGUACCCAGACACCAGGGGUAUAACUCAGGUACCAGGUGUGAGAACAGCUCAAUUUCAGGGAUACUUCCAUCCCCAGCUUGCAAUCUCCAUGGCUGAGCCUCUUUGAUAACUUUUGUGCUAUUCCUGGUUUCAAGUCUACCUGGUCCAUCAAUCAGUGCUCUUGUCUGCACUCCAGUUGGGGGAACUCAUGAACUGUAAAGGGAAAUCCUGUGGGGGAAUGAACAGGUUGGUCAGUCCAGCCUAGGGCAGACUGACCCACCAUGACAGUCCAGGGGUACUGAUGACAGGCAUGUACCAUGAGCUUGGGGGUGUCCCACCUGUGUCUCCACUGGAGAGAAUACACAGGUGUCACUGAGGAACAGGGUUGCAAGGACUAUCUGAGGAUAUGGGGUCAGCUGAGGACGUGUUAAGGAGAGGCAAACAUUGCACAGCUAGGCACUAAGGAGAGAGAAAGGGACACAGCAGGGCAUGGCCAGAAGACUGGAAUUAGGGAGCUGAGUGGAGGCACCAAGACCUGCGAGGGCACAGGCUGGGCACCAGGUGUGAGAACAGCCCACUCCUGGGGGCAUUCACCAGGGGUAGAUCUCUUCAGGGUCCCUCUGCCACAACUAGUUUUGAGUUCAUGUGGUCCACCUGCUGGUGGGAAUGUAGAAGCCUUCAGACCUAUGAAGGAUGAUGAGUUUUUGAGAGUCCAGCCCAGGAGAGGCCAAAACACCAUGACCCCAGCAAGCGAGAAUAAUCCUUACUCCAAGACAAACACAGACCUGCACAAAAUGAACAUCCAGGGAAGGCUCCCAGGCAGGACCCAGUGGCCCCACACGCACCCAUGUCAGUGCAUGCAGUGCCUGGAAUCUUACAGGAAGUGACCGAGCUGAACGUGACCAGCUGUGAAGAUUCAGAGACUUCUGAGCCCCGAUCUUGGCCACUCACGGCCCUUGGGUAGAAUGUGUGGGGUGUCCACUCAGCCACUUGUUAGAGGAGGUGGCAUGAUCUGGACCUCAGUGCCACGACCAACAGCGACUUCCAAGGGGAACAUGGGAAGAACAGAGGACAAAAACCAGAGUUGAGGCUGGAGAGAGUUAUGGUGCCAGUGGUCUCACCCAGCACUGAGUGCAAAGUUCUCCAGCAUCACUCUCAGGGAGAAGCUCCCCUGGACCUUGCCUAAGAACUCCGUUCGUCCGGGAGGACGCAGGCCCACCUGCUCUAAAAUGAACGCGUCUGAAUUCAGCGCAGGACACCCAGGAGCCCGGUUAUUCUCCUGCCAGCGUCCUCCCCUGAUGUGUCCCUGACCCCGUGCUCUGACGUACUCAGCCAUGUACUCACUCUCCUCUCCCAGGCCCCCAUACCUGAGAUCACCAUGGCGUGAUAUGGGGUAGACUACAAGCCUACCGUGCCUCGGCCAUGUGCAGGGCGACCUGUCCCUGGCAUCCACACCUGUGGCCCAUACGUCGCCCGCAUUGUGGGGCGCCGAAAACCCAACACAACUGAAACACAACUGCUGACCUUCCCCCUAAGCCGCCUCUAAACGAGGUCCCUGGGCCCCUGGUCCCAGCCGCUCUUUGAAGACUUGCCUGAUGACAGGCAUGUACCAUGUUUUUGGCUGGGACAUUUUUCUGAGCCUUGCUCCGGGCUCCGUAAAGCGGACACGGUGCCAGGGAGAGGAUUUCGGGGCGGUUGCGGGCACAGGCGGGCUUCUGCGGCGGCCCUGGCGAACGCCCCCGCGCGGCGCGGUCCGAUGGCCCCAUGGGGCCGCCCCUCCACUGUGAGGUCACCGGGGUUCAGCAACAUUCACUGCGGCUAGGACGCGUACAGGUCACUGAGGCAGAACUUUCCGAUUCUCGCGCCUUCGUUCGUUUCUGCGGACCAGCGGAGACUCCUCCACACCGCCCACCGCCCAAUGAUCCCACUGCCGCAAACCGCCCCAAAGCCAGCGCCGAAAGCCGACGCCGGAAGCCCCGCCCCACGCAGGGCUCGCCCGAACGUUCCCGUUCCUGGGCCGCCAUUGGCCAAGUCUGAACGGCCGCACGUCGAGGCUCCUUAUGGGAAAUGUAGUUCACGCCCCGCUUCAGGAGCUAGCGGCGCCCUCCCUUAUCGCCUUGGCAACGACCCAGCCGCGCCGCGAGGAGAGCCGGGAAUGGAGGUCGUGGCGUGAGGGGCGCCGAGCGAGGGGAGGCGCGGGCCACGGGAGUUCCGGGAGUUCCGGCGUUGCCCGGCAGUCCGCAAUCCUCGGCGGGAAGGCUGUCCCGGCGCCCCAGGCAGCUCUGCGUGGGCCGGGGUGACUUCCUCGCGAUCCUCUGCGCGAGGUGAAGGGCAGGGACCCUUGCCGCGCCUUCCACGCGCCGUGCCCCACCGGCGAGUGGCUCCAUCUUCCUCAGACUUGUCGCUCGCGGACAGGCGCCGUGGGUUUCCCGGGCCUCCGUACCGUCCUCCUUCCCAGCGGCUCCGGGAAGCGGUUCCCUGUCUUCGGACGCAUUUCACCCGCGCGGGGAGAGCUUCCCGGGAAGGUUCCACGGCGGCCGAGGGUUUCCGCGCCCGGGACGCGUUUCGGCUGAGGCCGUGGGUCCAGGCCACGGGUUCUGCCCGCACGGUCCAAUGGCCGGGGAGGCGGAGGGCUUGGUGAUGUUUGAGGAUGUGACGGUAUAUUUCUCCAGGGAGGAGUGGGGGCUCCUUAAUGUGACCCAGAAGGGCCUAUACCGGGAUGUGAUGCUGGAGAACUUUGCACUCGUUAGCUCACUGGGACUUGCACCUUCGAGAUCCCCUGUGUUUACCCAGCUGGAGGACGAUGAACAGUCGUGGGUGCCCAGCUGGGUGGAUGUGACUCCAGUCAGCAGAGCAGAAGCCAGGAGAGGUUUUGGUCUUGAUGGUUUGUGUAGAGUGGAGGAUGAGAGAGCCCAUCCCGAGCAUCUAAAGAGCUACAGAGUCAUCCAGCACCAGGACACUCAUAGUGAGGGGAAACCAAGAAGGCACACUGAGCAUGGGGCAGCCUUCCCACCUGGUUCCAGUUGUGGGCAGCAGCAAGAAGUCCAUGUGGCAGAGAAGCUGUUCAAAUGCAGUGACUGUGGGAAGGUGUUCUUAAAGGCCUUUGCCCUCCUUGACCAUCUGAUAACGCAUUCUGAAGAGAGACCCUUCAGAUGCCCAACAGGCAGAAGUGCUUUCAAGGAGAAGUCAGCUCAUAUUAACCCCCGAAAAAUUCACACUGGAGAAACAGCCCAUGUGUGUAAUGAAUGUGGGAAGGCCUUCAGUUACCCGUCUAAGCUGAGGAAACAUCAGAAGGUUCACACAGGCAUAAAACCUUUUAAGUGUAGUGACUGUGGUAAAACCUUCAACCGCAAAGACGCACUUGUUCUACACCAGAGGAUUCACACUGGAGAAAGGCCUUACGAGUGCAGCAAAUGUGGUAAAACCUUCAGUGUUCUGUCUACCCUCAUUCGGCACCGGAAAGUGCACAUUGGAGAAAGGCCCUAUGAGUGUACAGAAUGUGGGAAGUUCUUUAAAUACAAUAAUAGCUUCAUUCUUCACCAGAGAGUUCACACUGGAGAAAGGCCUUUUGAAUGCAAGCAAUGUGGGAAAGGCUACGUGACCCGUUCAGGCCUCUAUCAGCACUGGAAAGUCCACACUGGGGAACGGCCCUAUGAAUGUAGCCUGUGUGGGAAAACCUUCACUACCAGAUCCUACCGCAAUCGGCACCAGCAGUUCCACACUGAAGAGAGGUCUUAUGAAUGUACAGAGUGUGGGAAAGCCUUCAAACAUAGUUCCACCCUCCUCCAGCACAAGAAAGUCCAUACUCCAGAAAGGCAUCAGGAGGACAGGGCACAUGGGAAAGUCGUUAGCUGCUAGCACCGUGUUCAUCAGGAAAGGUCUUAUUCCAGAAAGGAGGUUGAGGAGAGUGGCCGUGAGAGUGCCAUCCAAAAGAAGCUAAACCUUGCACAUCCCAGCACCCACCCCAGGGAGAGUUCCCGUGUGUGCCUGGUGUGUGGGAAGCUUUCGGGAGCCACAUUGCACUCUGACUUGCCUGGGGCUGUUGGCAGUGUCACAUCACUGAGUUUAUCUACCGCCAUCCACCUCUAUCCACCCCAUAAGGUCCCUACAGCAAGUGGAACAGCAGACCUUGUGCUCCUUGCUCUAAACAGUAGAGAAUCGUUAAUGGUGGAGCCCAAAACAGGCCUCAUUCCCUACCCUUGACUGGUUUAGCUGUGGACAUGACCCACCUCUGGCCAGAGGAGCUGAGCUGAUAUCUGCUGGGGGCUUCCUGGGAAGGUUUACCAUUUUCAUGGAAAUGGUUGACAUUACACAUGGUAUUUGUCAUGCCCUAGCACGGACUGUCUCAUACUGCUCUGGACCGUGUGGUAAUAAAGGCUUUAUUGUUUAAGCCGCUUAAAAUUUUUUUUUUAUUUUUAUUUUUUGAGAUGGUCUUAUUCUGUUGCCCAGGCUGGAGUGCAGUGGUGCCAUCAUAGCUCACCACAGCCUUGAACUGCUGGUCUCAAGGGAUCUUCCUGCUUCAGCCUCCUGAGUAGCUGGCGCUACAGGUGUGCGCCAUCACACCUGGCUAAUUUUUUUUUUUUAUUUGUAGACAGGGUCUUGCUAUAUUGCCCAAGCUGGUCUCGAACUCUGAGCCUCAUGCUAUCCUCCUGCCUCGGCCUCCCAAAGUGCUGGGAGCCACUGUGCCUGGCCUAGUUUUUUUAGAGACAGGGUCUCACAGUCUUGCCCAGGCUGGAGUGCAGUAGUGUGAACCUAGCUCAUUGCAGACUUGAACUUCUGGACUCAAGUGAUCCUCCUGCUUCAGCGUAUUGAAUAGCUAGGAUUGUACUUGUGUGGCACCACAUCUGACUAAUUUUAAAAAUUUUUAUCGAGACAGGAUCUUGCUACAUUGCCCAGGCUGGUCAUGAGCUCUUUGCCUCAAGCAGUCCUCUUGCCUCAGCCUUCCAAAGUGCUGGUAUUAUAGUUGUGAGCCACUGUGCCCUGCCAAGUCUCUUUUAAUAUUGAGGUUCUGAUCCCUGUGUGUGGAGAGAUUGAGAAUAGAAUCCGGCACUAUCACCGGAAUGUUCCAGAACUUCCAGCAUUGGUCAGAAGGAGCUGUUUCCGGAUUCAGCUCAAAAGUCAUAUUCUCCAAAAUCUGGAACAUGGAGAUGGAGCCUCACACUGUCGCCCAGGCUGGAGUGCAGUGGCACGAUCUCGGCUCACUGCACACCCUGCCUCCCAGGUUCACACCAUUCUUCUGCCUCAGCCUCCUAAGUAGCUGGGACUACAGGCACCUGCCACCACACCUGGCUAGUUUUUUGUAUUUUUAGUAGAGGUGUUCACCAUGUUAGCCAGGAUGGUCUCGAUCUCCUGACCUCAUGAUCUGCCUGCCUCACCUUCCCAAAGUGCUGGGAUUAUAGGCGUGAGCCACUGUGCCUGGCCAAGAAAACUUUUCUGGAAAGCUCCAGAAGACACCAGCUCAGAUCUUAGCAAGAAUUUUCAUACCAAAAUCUAAAGCCAUCAGUGGGAAAGAAAAUGAGGGUACUCAAAGCCUAUGUAAUUCUCUCUAGAGAAUGGAAAAGGGAGUAUAGUCUGCUUUCCCUUAGCACAGUGAGGGAGACUGAUACAUAUCAUGAGAUCUUUCCAGGUGGCAGAGAUGAGACAGUAUGGCAGGCAGCUUUGGACAUGGCUUCCAAUGAUCUCUGCCCUCUGGUAUUCAUGCUCUUGUGUAAUGCUCUCCCCUUGACUGUGGGCUGGACCAAGUGACUUGCUUCUAACUAAAUAUAGCAAAGAUGAUGGGAUCUCACUUCUGUUAUUAGGUUACAAAUGACUGACUUGUUGGUAUUCUCCAUUGCAUGAUCAGCUUGCAAGCUUUGAUUGACAAGCUGCCAUUUUGGAGAGGCCCAUGUGGCAGAGAACUGGAGGAGGUCUCAGACCAACAGACGGGUCCUCAGUCCAGCAGCCCACAAAAAACUGAAUGCUGCCAAUUACGUGAGUUUGCUUGGAAGCAGAGCCUUCCCUAGUCAAGCCUUCAGAUGACCACACCCCCAGCUGACAUCUUGAUGUUAGCCUUGUGAGAAACCCUAAAGAGGAGUCAGCUAGCUGCACCAAAGUUCCUGACCUAUAGAGACUGUGAAAUAGUGACUAUUGUUGUAAGCCACUAGGUUUUGAGUAAUUUGUUACACAGCAAUAGGUAACUAAUACAGGUGGCUUCUGCAAUAGCAGUAAUACAGUGCCGCCUAAGAUUCUGGGAGCUGUGGCUUUCCCACAUUUGUUGCCCAUAACUCUCUUGUGAAUUCUCUGGUGAUUUUUCUUAAAAGGGGGUGUCUAUAGCUGAAGGCUUUCCCAUUUUCACUGCAUUUGUAAUGCCUUUUCCCCAUAGGUACUUUAUAUUGCUUUCUCACAUAGGAGAGGUGACUGAAGACCAUCCCACAUUCCUUAGAUGCAGGGGUUUUCUCUAUUGUGAAUUUUUUGGUUAUAGAUAAGAAUUGAUUUCUUCUUGAGGGUCUUUCUUCAUACCAAGUAUUUAAAGAUCUCUCUUCAAUGUGGGUUCUUAGGUGGUUGAAGAGGGCAAAAGUCUUCAUGUCUUCCCAUAGCCACUGCUCUUGAAGGGCUUCUCCCUAUCAUGGCCUGCCCGGUGUUAUCUGAUGUUAGAGCUGUGUGGCAGCAUCUUCUCACUCAUCUCUUCUUCAUGGCUUCCCUGUGCCAUGAGUACUCUGGUGAUGGAGAAAGGAAGGCCUUUCCACAUUCUCUUUUGAGCUUCUCAUUAUUCUGGUACUCCAGUGCUGGAAGGGGGUAGUUACCCUGGAAAGCCUUCACAAAUGCCUGGCCCUCGAGUCCUCUCACUUAUGAAUUUUGCUGUGCAUGAACUGAAAAGUGCUCUUACUGUGAGCCAUGUCACAUCUGAAAAGGUGGUCUUCACCAUAAAUGGUCUAUUGUUGGUGAAGGUUUGAUCCACUCCCUUGUGUGGGGUUUCUACCUGGAGUACACUGCCUAACGUUCAGCCAGGAGCACAAUCUUUGGCAGGGCAAGAGUGCCAUGGUCAGGGUGAGGAACGACCAGUCAUGGAGUACUGGUCCUGUCACAUAUCCCACUGCUGAGCCUGUUAGGUGACAUUCACAUAGGCAGGGAGAACAGAGAGGGAUAUAGGACAGAUGUGGAAGCAGCAGUGGCUACUGAAAAUGCUGUUCAGUGAUGUGAGCGCAGGCCACCCUUCUUUUCUAGAGAUGGUGCCUUGCUAUGUUGCCCUGGAUGGACUCAACCUCCUGGGCUCAAGAGAUCCUCCUGCCUCAGCCUCUCAAGCGGCUAGGACUAUAGGUGUGCACCACUGCACCUGGCCAGGCCUCUCCUUUAUGGGGACUCCUGUUCACAUCCCAGCCAAUGUUCUCAUGAGUACUUCCUUGUAUGGGGGAGGUCAAAGAAACAGCAACAGCUCACAUGUGAUGAUGCUGAAAUUACAUGGUAAAUAAGCUUUUAAAAUAGGUGCCGGCCAGGUGCGGUGGCUCAUGCAUGUAAUCCCAGCACUUUGGGAGUCCAAGAUGGGCAGAUCAGGAGGUCAGGAGAUCGAGACCAUCCUGGCUAACAUAGUGAAAACCCGUCUCUACUAAAAAUACAAAAAAAUUAGCUGGGUGUGGUGGCAGGCACCUGUAGUCCCAGCUACUCGGGAGGCUGAGGCAGGAGAAUGGCGUGAGCCAUUCAGGAGGUGGAGCUUGCCGUGAGCCAAAAUCGUGCCACUGCACUCCAGCUUGGGCGACAGAGCAAGACUCCGUAUCAAAAAAAAAGGUGCCAAACACCAUAUUCUACAAGGUUCCGGAUCUCUAGCUCCUUCUAAAAUACCAGCUCUGUCAACUGUGUUAAAUGCCCCCAUCUGCCUGUGCCCACUCUGUUGGCCAGCAAGACUGUGAAGGCAUGAAGUAUGUGUUAGUGACCAGAAACCCUGGCCAGACUACAGAAACCACUUUCCUGGACGUCAGGCUAUCACUUCUCUCAGCUCCCAGUUCCUACCUGGGGAGUGAUGGGUGCCAAGAUACAGUUUGAGAGAGGUGAAGUGAAUGUACAUGACAUUGCAUUUAUCUGCUUCAACUGUGGCAAAAACUUUAACAUGGCAAAUACAAAGGUCUGUAGCUCUGGAGUUGUUCUGCACACCCUCACCCUGCACAGUCCCAGUUGAUGGGGAACUGUGACUAUUCCUUUGUCCAUGAUGGCAUGUGCCCUAGUUCACCAGUCUACCCAAAUCCCUGGUUAUUACCUCACAUCCAGUGUUUCUCUAUGCACAUAGAGUCCUCCAUGGACCCCUCUAGAUCUUUGCCUUGGUGACCCUGUGACUAUUUUAGUGUUGUAGAUGAAUUUAUUUUUCCUCUGGGUAAGCUCUGGGCCCUACGGUAACUGAAACAUAGGCCACUAUGUUCAAUCCAAAGCCUUUCAGUCUUUCCCAGUCUUUCACAUAGCAAUGCAAAGUAGGCUACAACAGGACAGAGCAACUACCCGCUCUUCUACUGUGCCCUUAGGCAGAUUUUGUGCCCCCAAAAGGCACUCCCCACUCUAUCCAUUCAUUUUCUUAACCUACCCCAACAGAACCCCUAAGAUUAAAGGUGACCUGAUCAAUAAGGUCUUUAUUAUCACCAGUUAGUGCAGGCAAGGUAGGUGAUUCCAGUGGAGGGUGAUUUGUGGCCUCAAUGGGCACAUCUUAGGGGUUAAACACAGACUUGACCACAUCCACAAGGAAUGUGCAUCUUCCUGAGCUCAAAUUAGAUUUCCCUCAAGGCCCCUCAACCAGCAUUGGGUUCAGUUCACUGCCUAACCCUCUCAGAGGCAAUGGGAAUUAAACCAUUCCAUUGAGCUGAGCACAGUCCCGAAUCCCUAGAGGACACAGGAAGGAAGGCUCAGGGUACUGUUUUCCCCAUGCAUGAGGACAGGACUGCUGCAGAUUUUUGGAUCCAGGCAAGAUGGAAACUGACUAUGGCUUCUGCCUUAUGCUGCAUGGGUGAGAUGGCCCUGCAAAGGUUCCUGGGCUGGUCAGAAACAGAGUAGCUUCUGAAGGCUUUUCCACAUUAGCAGUACAUGUAGGUAAUUUUUCUGGUAUGGGGAUUCUGCUGCAUGAAGUUUGUCUUGGCUGAAGAUUUUCUCACAAAGACCACUUCCAUAAGGCUCCACUCAGGUAUGAAUCUUUUUAUGCUGUGCAAGGUUACAAAGAUGGCUGAAGAGUUUCCCACACUGGCUACACUCAUAAGUCCUUUCUCUGGUGUGAACUUUCUGGUGCCGAACAAGUGUAGAUCUUUCACUAAAGGCUUUUCCACACUGGAUGCACUCAUAGGGCCUUUCUUGUGUGUGAACUCUCUGAUGACGAACCAGGUGGGAGUUACUGCUAAAGGCUCUCCCACAUUCACUGCAUUCAUAAGGCCUUUCUCCAGUGUGAACUCUCCAGUGACAAAUAAGGCUAGAUUUUCGGCUAAAGAAUUUCCCACAUUCACUGCAUUUGUAAGGCUUUUCUCCAGUAUGAACUUUCUGAUGCUUAAUGAGAAUGGAGUUUUGGCUAAAGAAUUUCCCACAUUCAUUGCACUCAUAAGGCCUUUCUUUUGUGUGAACUCUCCAGUGUUCAAUGAGAGUGGAGCUGUGAGCGAAGGCUUUCCCACACUCACUACACUCGUAAGGCUUUUCUCCAGUGUGAAUUCUCCAGUGCUGAAUCAGGCUGGAGCUGCGGCUGAAGGAUUUCCUACAUUCGCUGCACUCAUAAGGCCUUUGCCCAGUAUGUACUUUCUGGUGCUGGAUGAGGGUGGAGCUAUUACCGAAGGCUUUACCACAAUCACUGCAUUCAAAAGGCCGUUCUCCAGUGUGAACUUUCUGAUGUCGAAGGAGAUGGGAGCUUUGGCUGAAGUCUCUUCCACAUUCACUGCACUCAAAAGGCCGUUCUCCGGUGUGAACUUUCUGGUGCUGAGCAAGGUUGGAGUUAUUGUUAAAAGCUCUUCCACAUUCACUGCAUUCAUACGGUCUUUCUCCAGUGUGAACUCUCCAGUGCUGAAUGAGAGCAGAGCUUCGGCUGAAGGAUUUACCACACUGACUGCACUCAUAAGGUCUUACCUGUGUGUGAACUUUCUGAUGCCGAAGGAAAUUGGAGCUUUGGCUGAAGGCUCUUCCACAUUUCAGGCACUCAAAAGGCCUUUCUCCAGUGUGAACUUUCUCAUGCCGAAUGAGGUGUGAUCUGUUACUGAAGGCUUUCCCACAUUCACUGCACUCAUAAGGUCUUUCUCCUGAGUGAAUUCUCUGAUGAUGAACAAAUGUGAGUUUGUGGUUGAAGGUUUUCCCACAUGCAAUGCACUCAUAAUAUUUUACUUCAGUGUGAAAUUUCUGGUGCUUCCUCAGCUUAGAUGAGUGACUAAAGGCCUUCCCACACUCCUUACACACAUGGGGUAUUUCCCCAGUGUGAAAUUUUUUAUUACCAAGGAUUGAUUUCUCCUCUAAGAAAUUUCCACCUGUUGGGCAUGUAAAUGGUAUCUCUUCAGAGUGAGUUCUCAGAUGGUUGAGGAGAGUGGAGCUCUUCAGGAAGGCUUUUCCACAGUUGCUGCACUCGAAGAGUUUUUGUGUGGUACAGACUUCUGGAAGCUGCCCAAGAUUGGAAUAUGGCUUCUGCCCGCUGUCAACAGCUUGAAGCUGGAGGAGGUCACAGCUGCCCAGGAUGACCUUCCCACCUUCCCUGCAAGUGAAGGGGUUCUCUGACAGGUGGACUUUAGAGCUCUUCAUAAGUGCAUCCCUGUCCUUGUACCAUCUAAAGGGCUUCCCUCCACUGUGCUCCUUCUGGUGCUGGUGAAGGUUUGCAUUCAACCAAAAGUCUCUCCCACAUGCUCCACAUGUGUAGGGUUUCUCCUCAGACUGUGUUCCCUGAUGCUCAGCCAGGUGCAAAAUGUCUUUCAAGAAUGGCCCACACAUGUCACAGGAGUUAGCUUUCUUGGUGGAAGGAUCUGCAUUAGGGAUCCUGACCUGUAACACUUCUACAGAAACAUUCUGCUCGGGAUGGGCCUCCUCACCCUCUACUCCAUGCCAACAACCUGAAAGUAGAGAAAUGCCAGUUAACUAAGAAUUCCACUUGGUGGGAAUGGAUGACUUCAUUAGAAAUGUUACCCAGGAAUUCACACCCAAGAAGAGGUCCCAGGGAUUGCUGACAGGCCAACAGGGCCAUCAUCAGGGUGAAGAAGGGCCCAUUACUAUUGGCAGGAUAGGGACCAGCCAAGCAACAGAAUAAGGGAGACCUCACCAGGGGUAAGGACACAGAAAUGGGUCAAAGGACUUAAAUAGACAUUUCUCUAACAGAAGAUAUAUACACAAAUGGCCAAUAAGCAUAUGAAAAGAAGUUCAGCAUCCUUAAUCAUGAGGAGUAUGAAAACCAAAACCAUAAUGAUACCACUUCACAUCCACUAGCAUAGCUAUAAUAAAAAAAAAUAAAUGACAAUAAAUGAAGUAGAAAAACUGGAGCACUUAUACACUGCAGACAGGGGUGUAAAAUGGUGCAGCCAAUUUGGAAAACAGUUUGGCAAGUCUGCUUCUACAGAGCUACACAAGAGACAUCCACACAAAAAUGUGUACAAGACUGUUCAUAGCAGAAUUUUUUUAAAAUUUGAGAUGGGGUCUUGCUAUGUUGCCCAGGUUGGUCUCAAACUCCUGGGCUCAAGUGAUCCUCCUGCCUCAGCCUCCUGAGUAGCUGGAUUAUAGGCACCUCGCCCAGCUUCUAUAGCAGCAUUUUUUUCUAACACCUAAAAAAUGGAAACAAGCCAAAUGCUCAUCCACUGAUAAAUGGAUAAACAAACUGUAGUCUUUCUAUACACUGGAAUAUUUGGCUAUAAAAAAGAAUGAAAUACUGAUACAUGCUACAACAUUGAUGAACUUCAAAAACAUGCUAAGAGAAAGCCAGUCACAGAAAAACACAUAGUAUUCUAUAAAAUGUCUAGGAAACAUAAAUCUGUAUAGUCAGAAAGUAGAUUAGUGGUUGCCUAGGACCGGGGGGGAUGGGAUAAGGGAACAUGGGGAGUGACAGCUAAUGGGACUGCUACUGGGACCUACAGUUUCUCUUUAGGUGAUAAAACAUGCUAAAAUUACAUUAUAGCAAUGAUUAUACCAUGUGAAAACAUAUAGAAAUCACUAAACUGUGUACUUUAAAAGUUGAA